rnacentral:rRNA from 1 species
CCUACGGGGGGCUGCAGUGGGGAAUAUUGCACAAUGGGCGCAAGCCUGAUGCAGCGACGCCGCGUGAGCGAUGAAGGCCUUCGGGUCGUAAAGCUCUGUCCUAAGGGAAGAAUAAUGACGGUACCUUAGGAGGAAGCCCCGGCUAACUACGUGCCAGCAGCCGCGGUAAUACGUAGGGGGCGAGCGUUAUCCGGAAUCACUGGGCGUAAAGGGUGCGUAGGCGGCCCUGCAAGUCAGGAGUUAAAUCCCUCGGCUCAACCGCGGUCAGCUCUUGAAACUGGAGGGGUAGAGGGCAGGAGAGGAGAGCGAAAAUCCUAGCGUAGCGGCGAAAUGCGGAGACAACAGGAGGAACGGCAGAGGCGAAGGCGGCAACCUGGACUGCAACUGACGACGAGGCAGGAAACCGUGGGGAGCGAACAGGAUGAGAUACCAGAGUACCC